ensembl:lncRNA
CAGCGAUGGCUGAUGGCACAGAGCAUUUAUUUGCUGUCAAACAGACCAAAAAAUGGGGGAAAUGGAAAUGGAACCAACAGAGCACAGCACCGGGGGGGGGGGGGGGGAAGAGGAGGAGGAGGAGGAGGAGGAGGAAGGCUCUGAAUGAGCACAAAGAAAGGAGGAAGAGGAGGAGGAGGAAGGCUCCAAGUGUGGCACAAAGGCAAACGGGAGAGCGUUGGCAUCACAUGGUGGAACCCGGAUGUGCAAAAUCAAUGGAGGAAGAGGAGGAGGAAGAGGAGGAGGAUGAAGGCUCCAACCAUGGCACAAAGGCAAAUGGACGAGUGCUGGGGCCCCAAGCAUGGCAUCAUGGAACACGAAUGUACAAAACCAGUCGAGGAAGAGGAAGAGGAAGAGGAGGAGGAUGAAGGCUCCAACCAUGGCACAAAGGCAAAUGGACGAGUGCUGGGGCCCCAAGCAUGGCAUCAUGGAACACGAAUGUACAAAACCAGUCGAGGAAGAGGAAGAGGAAGGCUCCAGUCAUGGCAUGAGGACAAAGAGGAGAGCAUUGGGGCCCAGAGCAUCACAUGGGGAACCCAUAUGUGCAAAACCAAUGGAGGAAGAGGAGGAGGAAGGCUCCAACCACAGCACAAAGGCAAAGAGGAGAGCGUUGGGACUCAGUGCGUGACAUGAUGGAAGCCUAAUGUGCAAAACCAAUUGAGGAAGAGGAGAAGGAAGGCUCCAAUCAUGGCAUGAGAACAAAGAGGAGGACGUUGGGGCUCAGAACAUGGCAUGAUGGAACCCAAAUGUGCAAAAAGAAGUGAGGAAGAGGAGGAGAGAGGCUCUGAAUGUGGCACAAUAGCACAGGGAAGAGUGCUGAGGCUCAGAGCACGGCAUGAUGGAACCCAGGUGGACAAAAUCAGUUGAGGAAGAGGAGGAGGAAGGCUCCCAUUGUGCCACAACAGCACAGAGAGGGGAGGCUCAGAGCUCUCCAGCCGUCUCGACGACGUGGAACAGAGUGACGUUGUAGAGCACCUGGUGCCCGUUGUUCCAGGUGUAGAGGACCCUCUCGCGUGGGUUGUAGUCCAGCAUGGAGAUGUGUGAGUAUUGGUUGUGGAAGGGGAUGUCCGUGUAUUCGUAGCUUGAGGUGGCCGUGUGGUAAGCGAAGUAGAUUUUGGCCCCCGCCAGGUGGGAGUUGGUGACGUAGAGAGUCCCACAGAUGAGGAACGAUUCCCCAGCGCUGCGUUUCGGGUACCCCGUGUCCCAGCUCCGCAGCACCUGCAUGGGAGUGGCAGAGAUUAACCUGCAAUGCCGACAGCGGCCACCAGGGGGCAGCAGUGAUAACCCUGCAAUACCAACAACGGCCACCAGGGGGCGGCAGUGAUUAUGCCGCAAUGCAAACAACGGCCACCAGGGGGAAGCAGAGAUGAUGCU